GCUGCCUUUAGUUUAGGGGCUUAUCUAUCCUAUAUCCCUCAUCGUCAUCUAUCUAUAUCAAAAACAAAAAGAUUGCCGCUUUAUUAUAAAAUAAAAUCGAGGUUUCCCGCCUAAACAUCCAUCCACUAGGUAGUGACUAGUGAGUGAUAGAUACUGAUCACAGCAAGCAUUCUUUCUUUCUGAAUAGAAAGUAAAAAUGUUUUCCUCCACCGCAAAAAACCCUAACCCUAAAAAUGUGUACCACAUCGGAGGUCUGGCGGUCGAAUUUCCUUACCAACCGUACGGGUCGCAAUUUGCGUUUAUGGGUCGAGUAAUCUCAACCCUUAACCGAGCUCAGAAAGAAGGCCACUGUCACGCGUUGCUCGAGUCUCCAACUGGUACCGGCAAAUCCCUUUCGCUUCUUUGUUCCACACUCGCUUGGCAGCAACAUUACAAACCUGCUCCGGACCCAACUGCCGAUCCUCUCGCCAAUGGUGGAGGUUUUCUUCCCGACGAGGUUUCGCUUUCUUCCGCAUCAGAAAAUCCAGAAUCAGAAGUCACCAAUAAGAAGCAGAAGAAAAAGGCAGUUCCAACUAUUUAUUAUGCCUCGAGAACGCACUCACAAAUUUCUCAAUUGGUUCGUGAAUUGCGGAAAACAUCAUACAGGGUGCCGAUGGCUCUGUUGGCAUCACGAAAACAUUACUGCACCAAUAAAAAUAUAUGUGGCAAAGAAAACAUUGACGAAGAAUGUAAACUACUUUUGAAAGAUAAGGAAUUAGGCUGUUCAGAAUUCAAAAAUGUGCAUAAAGUCAAAAGUCACCCAUCCCUUCAGAAAGGAGGAUGCAAUGAGGUGCACGACAUAGAAGAUCUUGUAAAAGUUGGACAAUCGGUGAGAGGUUGCUCUUAUUAUGCUGCCCGUUCUAUGUCAGAUGAUGCACAGUUGGUAUUUUGUCCAUAUAACUACAUCAUUAAUCCAGUCAUCCGGGGAGCAAUGGACGUGGAUAUUAAAGGAGCCAUCGUGAUAUUUGAUGAAGCUCACAAUAUAGAGGACAUUAGUCGUGAUGCUGGUAGUGUGGAUAUUGAAGAGGAUAUAUUGGACAAACUACAAAUGGAGCUCCAGCAACUCCUUCAUUCAGAUACUGCAAUUUACCAACCCCUUUAUGAAAUGACACAGGGCCUUACUAGUUGGAUGGAACAGAAGAAAACUAAACUAGAAAAACGUGACUUUCAGCACUAUGUGUCAUGCUGGACAGGUGAUAAGGCUUUACAAGAGCUUGAAGAAGCAAAUAUUUCAAAGCAGUGCUUCCCUAUAUUGCUAGAAUGUGCCACUAAGGCAAUCAAAGUUGCCACAGACUUGGAAACGGAUGCACCGCGUUUAAGUGGCAUGUCAGUGAUAACAUUGGAAGGCUUAUUCUUAUCACUAUCUUAUUUCUUCUCUAAAAAUGGAUCUCACAUGUUGGAUUACCAGCUUGCUCUUCAGCGAAGUGUUAGAAAACAUGAGAGAAGAGCUUUUGGAAACUGGACACAUACUUUAAGUCUGUGGUGCUUGAAUCCAGAAGUUGUAUUUAGAGAUGUUGCCGAUCUUUCUUUAUCAGUCAUAUUGACUUCUGGGACACUGUCACCGAUGACAUCAUUUUCUUCUGAACUUGGAGUUAAGUUUGAAGCUAGUCUUGAAGCUCCACAUGUAAUUGAUAUUGAUUCACAGGUGUUGCCUGCUAUAAUCCCCACCGGUCCUGGUAAUAUUCCUCUGAAUGCAAGUUACAAAACUGCUGAUGGAUACGCAUUCCAGGAUGCAGUUGGAAGAUCUUUAGAGGAAAUCUUCAAGAUUGUUUCAGGUGGAUGUCUUGUGUUCUUUCCAAGUUAUAAAUUGAUGGAAAAAUUAUGCACCCGAUGGUCUGAAACAGGUCAAUGGUCUCGGCUCAAUGCAGAAAAGUCACUUUUUGUUGAACCAAAGGGGAGUAGCCAAGAUGAUUUUGAACUUACAUUGAAGGGUUAUUAUGACUCAAUUCAUCAUGACAAAAGACCUGCUUCUGGAAGGAAAAGAAGGAUUAAGAAAACUGAUCUAAAUCACUUCCAUGCAGUUGAUUCCCUACAGGAUUCUAAGAAAGGAGGAGCAGCUUUACUUGGUGUUUGUCGAGGAAAGGUUUCUGAAGGAAUUGAUUUCUCUGAUGAUAAUGCUAGAGUAGUCAUUAUUGUUGGUAUCCCAUUUCCAAACAUAAAUGAUAUUCAAGUUGCAUUAAAGAAAAAGUAUAAUGACACAUUCAAGUCAUCUAAACAUCUCUUAGGAGGAAAUGAGUGGUACUGCCACCAAGCAUUUCGAGCUUUAAAUCAAGCUGCAGGGCGGUGUAUACGGCAUAGACUUGAUUAUGGAGCAAUCAUCCUAUUGGAUGAGCGCUUUUGUGAAGAAAGGAAUAGAGCAUUUAUUUCAAAGUGGUUAAGAAGACCCUUGAGAGUGUAUGACAAUUUUGAUGUGUCACUGGAGGGACUAAAAUCAUUCUUUGAGAAUGCGAAGGAGAGGUAUGGCGUGAAUACAGUCCACCCCACAACGAAUUUGGACUUAAAUGGUGAUGAUGGUGUUCAAAACAAGGAUGGAAUUAUGAAGUUUACAAAGAAGAAAAAUCAGAAACUGAACAAGUCUAGAAAUGGAGGUGAUAAAGAAACAUCAGUUAUUGAGGAUAACAUCUCUAUUCCCAUAUCAAGCUCUCACAGUCUUGCUGAAAGUCGGCCACCAGCUCAAAGGAAUAGUAAUGCAUACAAUUUCAAAGACCAUAUUAACCUAGAAUGCUGUAAUCUGACAGAAAGGUUUCCUGGGGAAUCAUCUGUGCCAUUUACGCAUGAUGAAACCUCCAUUGUCAAGGAAAGCCCAUGUUUAGAUAUUGGCAGUGAUGCUGGCAGCUCCGAUUACUCUAAGAAUGACAAUUCUGAUUCCACCAUAAUUGAGGCUUCUGCUCGAUUUGCAAUGGAUCGCUUGUCAAGUUUUCCAGUGUCUUCAACUACUGGAAGUAAAGUAUCAAUGACGGUCACUCCUGAAAAGAGUGUAACUGCAAAUAAUAUUCCAGAAACAGAAUCAUCUUUGAAUUUGAGUGUUAAUUCUCACAAUCAGAAAAGAAGAAAGUCCAUGGUCAUACCAUUUGUAAACCUCAUUGAAGAAGAAAACAAUGAUGCAUCUUGUGCUAGCACUCCUACAUGGUGCACAAAAAGCUCAUUGGAAGUUAGAGAGGCAACUCAUAGAACUGAAUGUAGUUAUGGGAAAAUUUUAAACUCGCAAUCUCCUCAGUUACCAACAAACAAUAUACCUGGUUCAUGUUCUGUCCCUCUACUAGACAAAAGGUUACAACUAUUUUGUUCACUCUGCAAAAACCCAUUGGGACGACAUGAGAACCAUCUAUAUCUUACAUGCUCUUUGAUUUCAUCAUCAAAAGUUCACUUGAGAUUCCUUUUGAAAAAGAGACUGGAAACUUACACUGCGGAUACAGAAAAGAGUGUACAAGUUAUUGUUACUGAUUUUUCAUUUGUUGAUCAACGUAUUUGCAGUAGAAUACCCAAAAGUACACAGGAACAGGGUAUAUGGUGUCCAGAAGAUGGGUGUGUAUUCAGCACAAUUUUUUGUCCCUUCUGCAGUAAUACCAACAAUUUGCUUGGAGUUCAGAUCAUGGCAACCAAUUCAUCAAAUGUUCAGUUACUUGACAAGAUAUUGUUUUUCGUUGAUUCUUUGGAAAUGAAAAACCAGGAGGAAACAGGAAAAAGUGCCUCAGAGGAAAUGGGUUUUUUGCCGAUUAUCGACUCUGGCAUGGGUGGAGUUGCUGCCUUAAAUUCCCUUGAGAAAUAUUCUUAUGUUCCCCAACCAGGGAAAUCAGAAGUCCGGAGGUCUAAAAAAUCAAAGCCAAGACUAAGAGGCUAACAAGAUUGGAAUUAUGGCAACAACAGAGAAUUUUAUAGGACAAAACUUAUGCAUUUCUUUAAAGAGUUCAGUUAUGCUCCAUUCCUUUAUCCUCCAGUUUGCUCCAGUUCCUUUAUGGAUGAAUGACAUGUGGCAAUUAAAAAAUUUAAUGGUUUUGCAGUGUCACCGUUGACACUCGACGGCCACCACCAUGGCAAAGCUCCGCCGCCACCGUGUUUAUAUUAUUGAUCUUCUUUUUCUCUCAAAUCUACCAUGCCAAAGCUCUGCAAUUUUUUUAGAUUUGCAAUUUUCUCCCCCAAAUUGUUUUUCGCUAUGUUUGUUACGGUGCCGUUCACCGCUAUUUUCACAUCCGCCGCCGCUUGCCGUCGUGGUAUCUUCUUUGUGCCGCCAUCUCCCCAUUUUUUCAGUUUGAAGAUUGUUUGAUUGAAACUUAAGAUUGUCAUUGAAGAUUGAUUGAUUGAAAUUGUUGUUUGGUGGUGAUGCAAUCGAUUUGAGACAGGAAUUAGAAAAGAGGGAAAAUGUAAUUUUAAGAUUCUGCAACUUAAGUUUCUGUAAUUUUAAGAUUAUAAUGUUUUAAGAUCUAUCCGUUUUUCGGAAGAGGUGUUUCAUUUUUUUCCAUUAGAUUUUGUUCUUGUUUGGAAGAUCUGCAACGUGAAAAUAUGCUCGGCGCUGGAAUGAACGCAGAGGGAUGAUGUCGUCACUAGGACGGUGGCGAGCGGCGUAGGGAUUGCUAGAGUGGGCGACGAUGGCCAAACGGUGAUGAGAGGAAAAUGAAGCAUUGUACUGUGGAGGAAGAGGAAAGAGUGACAAAGGAAAGGAAGAAGACAAAUUAAUGAUGUUGUUAAAACUUUUUUCAAUUUUUAAUCCGGACCGUUGAUUAGUUUUUAUCCAAGUGUCACUAUCUGGGCAAGGUAAUGGAAGGAACUUGAGAAUAAGGUA